UACGUAGGGUGCAAGCGUUGUUCGGAAUUACUGGGCGUAAAGGGCGCGUAGGCGGGCCCGUAUGUCGAUUGUGAAAGCUCAGGGCUUAACCCUGAAAUGGCAUUGAAUACUGUCGAGCUGGAGGUUUGGAGGGGGGACUGGAAUUCUUGGUGUAGCAGUGAAAUGCGUAGAUAUCAAGAGGAACACCAGUGGCGAAGGCGAGUCCCUGGACAACACCUGACACUGAGGCACGAAAGCUAGGGGAGCAAACAGG
rnacentral:rRNA from 1 species